UUGAUUUUCAGAAAAACAUUGAAAAUUUCCAGUGAAGACUGGGGAAGAAGAAAGGAGAAGGAAAGGAGCGGUGAAGCCAGAAAGGUCAGCGAUUUUAUUGUGCAGUUGAGAAAGUUCCUGCUCAAGUGCUGCAGUGGAGUCUAUCAGUUCGUUGUGGGAGCUCACUAACUCCGCCAUUUUCCCCUCCAGAUGGUCAGUCCGGUCCCUUAUCUGCCUCACUUCCUUAUGGAGCUCUGCAAUGGCGCCCUUGAAGUCUGCCUGAAGAUCUGACCUUAACGAGGUUACAGGGUGGAAUCCCUACAGAGAGUAUGAACAAGAAUGCACUAUGUCACUUCCCCUGCUGGACUAUAAAGGACGUUAUGGACUUUGUAUGCACUUUUACACCAUUGUUUCACAUGGCUUGAGAAAGAGCCUUUUCGGCUCGAAACGUCGCUUUUACGUAUGUGCACAUAUAUGGUGAUGUAACUGUUUUACCAUUUAAUACAAAAUAUUGAGCAUUUAUGGCGAGUGCUGUUUCUUAAUCGAACUAUAUAUAUUAUGGAGGACUGACCGGAGACCUCAUGGGACGUGCACCGCAAAGAUACUGCAAAGCGUGAGUGCUGUUACUAGCAUUUGUAUUAUAUAUAUAUAUAUAUA